rnacentral:rRNA from 1 species
CACGUAGGGGGCAAGCGUUGUCCGGAUUUAUUGGGCGUAAAGAGCUCGUAGGCGGUUCGGUAAGUCGGGUGUGAAAACUCUGGCUCAACUCAGAGACGCCACCUGAUACUGCCGUGACUUGAGUCUGGUAGGGGAGUGUGGAAUUCCCGGUGUAGAGGUGAAAUUCGUAGAUAUUGGGAAGAACACCAAUUGCGAAGGCAGCUGGCUACACGAAUAUUGACACUGAUGCACGAAAGCGUGGGGAUCAAACAGG